rnacentral:rRNA from 1 species
GAGUUUGAUCCUGGCUCAGGAUGAACGCUAGCGGCAGGCUUAAUACAUGCAAGUCGAACGGCAGUCGGGCAGCAAUGCUUGGCGAGAGUGGCGCACGGGUGCGUAACGCGUAUGCAACCUGCCUUUAACAGGGGGAUAGCCCGGAGAAAUUCGGAUUAAUACCCCGUAGUAAUUAUUAGUGGCAUCACUGAUAGUUUAAAGCUAAUGCGGUUAGAGAUGGGCAUGCGUUCCAUUAGCUAGUUGGUGCGGUAACGGCGUACCAAGGCUACGAUGGAUAGGGGACCUGAGAGGGCGAUCCCCCACACUGGUACUGAGACACGGACCAGACUCCUACGGGAGGCAGCAGUAAGGAAUAUUGGGCAAUGGCCGCAAGGCUGACCCAGCCAUGCCGCGUGCAGGAAGACGGCCUUAUGGGUUGUAAACUGCUUUUGUCAGGGAGUAAAUCCUUAUACGUGUAUAAGGUUGAAAGUACCUGAAGAAUAAGCAUCGGCUAACUCCGUGCCAGCAGCCGCGGUAAUACGGAGGAUGCGAGCGUUAUCCGGAUUCAUUGGGUUUAAAGGGUGCGCAGGCGGGCUAAUAAGUCAGGGGUGAAAUUCCACGGCUCAACUGUGGGGCUGCCUUUGAUACUGUUAGUCUUGAGUUUAGUUGAGGUGGGCGGAAUGUAGCAUGUAGCGGUGAAAUGCAUAGAUAUGCUACAGAACACCGAUAGCGAAGGCAGCUCACCAAGUUAUAACUGACGCUCAUGCACGAAAGCGUGGGGAUCAAACAGGAUUAGAUACCCUGGUAGUCCACGCUGUAAACGAUGAUCACUCGUUGUUGGCGAUACACAGUCAGCGGCUAAGCGAAAGUGAUAAGUGAUCCACCUGGGGAGUACGAUCGCAAGGUUGAAACUCAAAGGAAUUGACGGGGGCCCGCACAAGCGGUGGAGCAUGUGGUUUAAUUCGAUGAUACGCGAGGAACCUUACCUGGGCUGAACGCUAAUGUAUGGGAGAAAUCUCAAGUCCUUCGGGCGUUGAGCGAGUGCUGCAUGCU